rnacentral:rRNA from 1 species
UACAGAGGUCUCAAGCGUUGUUCGGAUUCAUUGGGCGUAAAGGGUGCGUAGGCGGCGUGGCAAGUCAGGUGUGAAAGCCCUGGGCUCAACCUAGGAAGUGCACUUGAAACUGCGGAGCUUGAAUGUCGGAGAGGGCAGCGGAAUUCUCGGUGUAGAGGUGAAAUUCGUAGAUAUCGAGAGGAACACCGGUGGCGAAGGCGGCUGCCUGGACGACGAUUGACGCUGAGACGCGAAAGCGUGGGGAGCAAACAGG